CCCUUUGGGUGUGACUGCGUACCUUUUGUAUAAUGGGUCAGCGACUUAUAUUCUGUAGCAAGGUUAACCGAAUAGGGGAGCCGGAGGGAAACCGAGUCUUAACCGGGCGUUAAGUUGCAGGGUAUAGACCCGAAACCCGGUGAUCUAGCCAUGGGCAGGUUGAAGGUUGGGUAACACUAACUGGAGGACCGAACCGACUAAUGUUGAAAAAUUAGCGGAUGACCUGUGGCUGGGGGUGAAAGGCCAAUCAAACCGGGAGAUAGCUGGUUCUCCCCGAAAGCUAUUUAGGUAGCGCCUCGUGAAUUCAUCUCCGGGGGUAGAGCACUGUUUCGGCUAGGGGGCCAUCCCGGCUUACCAACCCGAUGCAAACUGCGAAUACCGGAGAAUGUUAUCACGGGAGACACACGGCGGGUGCUAACGUCCGUCGUGAAGAGGGAAACAACCCAGACCGCCAGCUAAGGUCCCAAAG
rnacentral:rRNA from 1 species